rnacentral:tRNA from 1 species
CCCCAGGUAGCUUAGUGGUAAAGAAUCUGCCUGCCAAUGCAGGGGAUACAGGUUUGAUCCCUGGCUUGGGAA